rnacentral:rRNA from 1 species
AGGGAGUUUGAUCCUGGCUCAGGAUGAACGCUAGCGGCAGGCUUAACACAUGCAAGUCGAGGGGCAGCGGGUGUAGCAAUACACUGGCGGCGACCGGCGCAAGGGUGCGUAACGCGUGAGCAACAUGCCCGUCACAGGGGGAUAAUCCAUGGAAACGUGGUCUAACACCGCAUAGAUUACAGAAGUGACAUCACUUUUAUAAGAAAUUCGCAAGAAGGUGACGGAUUGGCUCGCGUAACAUUAGCCAGUUGGUAGGGUAACGGCCUACCAAAGCGACGAUGUUUAGGGGUCCUGAGAGGGAGGUCCCCCACACUGGAACUGAGACACGGUCCAGACUCCUACGGGAGGCAGCAGUGAGGAAUAUUGGACAAUGGAUGGAAAUCUGAUCCAGCCAUGCCGCGUGCGGGAUGACUGCCCUAUGGGUUGUAAACCGCUUUUGCGAGGGAGCAAUAAGGCGUACGCGUACGCUGAUGAGAGUACCUCGCGAAUAAGCAUCGGCUAACUCCGUGCCAGCAGCCGCGGUAAUACGGAGGAUGCAAGCGUUAUCCGGAUUUAUUGGGUUUAAAGGGUGCGUAGGCGGAGUAUCAAGUCUGUGGUGAAAAGUUCGGGCCUAACCUGGAUCGUGCCAUGGAAACUGGUACCCUUGAAUAGUGGUGCCGUUGGCGGAAUGUGAAGUGUAGCGGUGAAAUGCUUAGAUAUUACACAGAACACCGAUUGCGAAAGCAGCUGACGAACCACCGAUUGACGCUGAUGCACGAAAGUGCGGGUAUCGAACAGGAUUAGAUACCCUGGUAGCCU